CUUAAUAUUAUCAUUCUUCUUCUUUCACAUAUCUAGGGUUUAUCUUUCUUCUUCAUCUAAAGCCGACGUAGAGCCGCACACCGUAAACCAUCUUCAUCUUCGGCUUCUCUUGUUCGAUCAGGUGUUGCUGUCAUUUUGUUUUGGGAAGCCUGAAUAGGCGAGUCUACAUGUGUGUGCGUGGCCAUCUCUGUUGUAGUGUGUGUGUGGCCUGUGUUGGCUAAGAUGAUGAAUUGAACAGACUUUAUGGUCAGUUGGCAAAGAGGACUGGAUGAUAGAUGGUCCGAAUGGGAGUUGAGAUGGUAGAUGUACGAAAUUCUUUUGGCCAGAUACAUGGUCGUUUCUCUUUUGGAGGCUGUAAAAGAAAUAGUUUGCAUGGCAGAACAUAAAAUGUCAGUAAAUUGCAUCCAUAUGUGGAAUCCAUUUGCACCUAUGCAUAACUUUACUUAGAUCUCUUAUUAAUUGCUAAAACAAUUAUGUGUUUCAGCAUCUAAACAUGCAAAAUUGUUGUAUACAAAGGGUGUAUCCUUUUUAUCCUA